AUGUAUGAGUUGUUACUGAAAACGACGUCCGAGUUAUUAAUUGCAUACCCUGUUUUAAGUAGCAAAAGACCAAAGUUUAAGCUUGCAAAACGCCAAAUGCCGAAGCAAGGAGAACGGCAGCACGCUCGCCGCCGAGCAAGGGCGCCUCUCCUAAAGGGGCUCGUGCCUCGCCUCCCCGGGACAGCGAGCUGCUCGGAACCCGCAGCCUGCCGUGCUUCCGGGGCGCAGCGCGGGCACAGCGUGCUGCCGCCUCGGCCUCGGCCUCGCCGUGCCGGGCCGGGCCCUGCCGCGGUGCCCAGGCGCUGCCGGCCUUUCCCUUGGCGGCGGCCGCGGCUGGCACGCGGGCCGCAGAGCGGCGAGGGACGAACGCGGCCGCCCCGCCCCGCCCCGCCCGUGCUUUUCUGCGCCAGGGAGGAAUGCAGCAGAAUCCUUAAGCAAAUAGAAGUCUUCCGGUUUUUGGUCUUCAGGAAUACUGAUGUUUCCACAAUACUGGGCUUGCCCUUUGAAGCCAUAGCAGGAAGCAUGCAAGAGAAGCAUCUUUAGGAGUGCAUAUGUUCAGUUACCACCUUAUGUGGAAUGAAGAUGUGGCCGAGAAGGCUGUUGAGGUGGCUGAGGAAAGAAAAGGGGACUGACAGGUGUGACCCUUGAAGUGCCAUGCAAAAGAUCCCUUCUGCUGUCUCCCACCCUUUGCAGCACUUUGGGACCAGCUUGUUUGGCCUUUUGGUUCAGAAGUUGUGUCGGCUACGUCUGUGCUCCAGAUGAAACAGCACCAGGAGCUGCUUUCUGCCACAAGGCCAUUUAGCACAGGUUGGAUAACAAGUGUUUCUCUAAGCCAUGUGAAGGCUUCACUCCAGGGAUAUUUCUGUGUAACGUACACUGCUAAAUUUAGGCUUCUCCUACCGUCCAACAGCAUUCUCCCCCAGGUCCAUGUUAGUCUACUGACUGAAGUACGUGCUCAAGAAGCAAGAUAACCAGCCCAAUUAUCUCCUCAUCUACAGGAAGUACGCACAUUUCAAAUUAUCACACCAUAGCUUUUUAGGAAAAAGGGUAAGGAAUGGUUCUUGCCAUCCACUUCUUUCCUUUUGAAGCAGGGCAUUAUGCAGAAAAAGAGACAGAGAAGGCAGACAGGUCCCUUGUGCUGGGAGCUGGAGGUGCAUUUGGUCUCUGCUGUCUUUGUAUUUCAUGCUUGUAUGAAAAAAAAAAAAAAAAAAAAGUACUUGGAACAGAGACCAGGAGCCAGGAGUCUUCUCUCUAGGGCAGGUGUCCUUGCUGCAGGAUAACCGCAAUUGUAGGAGUCACCUAAAGAGCUCAGCUUCCGCUCCAUCUGGUCCAGUGACUAUCAGACAUGGAGAGCAGCUAGGGAGCCCUUUCACCGAAUGAGCUAGUUGUACGUGGUGAACCCAGUAAAUCUGCAUGGCUGCAUAGUGGCUCAGUGAAAAACUGGGCGCAGUCUGAGUGCUGGUCCCAAGACACAGCCUGAAAACGCUGUAGGACACACAGAUGGAAUCUGACAUGUGCCUAUGCUCAGGCAGAAGGCUUAAGUG
rnacentral:lncRNA from 1 species